GGGAUAGCCUUUCGAAAGAAAGAUUAAUACCGGAUGGCAUAAUUAUUCCGCAUGGGAUAAUUAUUAAAGAAUUUCGGUUGUCGAUGGGGAUGCGUUCCAUUAGGCAGUUGGCGGGGUAACGGCCCACCAAACCUACGAUGGAUAGGGGUUCUGAGAGGAAGGUCCCCCACAUUGGAACUGAGACACGGUCCAAACUCCUACGGGAGGCAGCAGUGAGGAAUAUUGGUCAAUGGACGAGAGUCUGAACCAGCCAAGUAGCGUGAAGGAUGACUGCCCUAUGGGUUGUAAACUUCUUUUAUACGGGAAUAAAGUGAGCCACGUGUGGUUUUUUGUAUGUACCGUAUGAAUAAGGAUCGGCUAACUCCGUGCCAGCAGCCGCGGUAAUACGGAGGAUCCGAGCGUUAUCCGGAUUUAUUGGGUUUAAAGGGAGCGUAGGCGGGUUGUUAAGUCAGUUGUGAAAGUUUGCGGCUCAACCGUAAAAUUGCAGUUGAUACUGGCGACCUUGAGUGCAACAGAGGUAGGCGGAAUUCGUGGUGUAGCGGUGAAAUGCUUAGAUAUCACGAAGAACUCCGAUUGCGAAGGCAGCUUACUGGAUUGUAACUGACGCUGAUGCUCGAAAGUGUGGGUAUCAAACAGGAUUAGAUACCCUGGUAGUCCACACAGUAAACGAUGAAUACUCGCUGUUGGCGAUAUACGGUCAGCGGCCAAG
rnacentral:rRNA from 1 species